GGCCUUUUAUAAGGAACAUGCUCAAUUGCUCACUGCUCAGUAACAAACACAAAGUGGCCGGUCGCAGUUCACUACUUCAUUCUUCACCGGUCUUCCACCUCCAGUGGAAACACAAGAGGCGAGGUAGGACGCAGAGGUUCCUCUUCUAGCACCUUCCUCCGCCUCUUCUCUUCCUCACUAUCUUCAUCUUUCUGUCCACUGCUGGGCUGCUUCCACCUUCAACAUAAACAAAGAAAGCAGAAGGCAGAGGUUGAGGUGCGGUCGAGGUCGCCACCGUCGAGGAAAGAAGUGAGUGUGUUGCUUAGGGUUGUGCUUUGCAAUGUGCAAUUCUUAGUCCAACUUUUUAAGUACGAGAGUUUCAGUAAACUGUUCUGACACCAAGACUAAGUUUCCAUUUUCCUUCCGGUAUGACAUUGUCUUCUUAGGUUGAACUGUAUAGGUCAAUAAAAGUUUUCCUUUUGCAAUUUCCCUUUCAUGGAAAGGUUCUGGACCAGAUGCACAGCUAAGUAUUGGAUCAGAUAAUCAUCAAAGUCUCUAUUGAUUCAGCAACUGUCAGGAAGAAGUUGACGUUCCGGUUUCCGAAGAAUCAGCUGCAGAAAACACCAAGAUGGGAUACCGAUGUGAACAUAUUUUUCUAUUCAACAAUCUGAGAAAGCAUCAUACAUGAUAGUUUUGCAGAUAUGACCUCAUCAUUGAAUAUAUGCUCCGAAGAAAAAGGCUAAGAAAGCGAAUAUUCUUGUAGAUCAAGUGGAUCUCCAGAAAGCUGUAGAGAAGGAGUUUGAAAUGGCUUUGCAAGAUCGCGGGAUGGAAGAAACAAAAGACUUGAAAAAUUGAUGUUUAUGAAAUGCGGGUCAAAAGUGUAAUUUGGCAAAAAUUGAAGGUUUAGGAUUUAAUUUGUCAAAAGUUUAGGGUUCAAAUUGUAAUUUGUCAAAAGUUGAGGGGUCAAAUAUAAUUUAUUAAAAGUUGAGGGGUUGAGGAGUCAAAGGUGUAAUUUGUCAAAAGUUAAGGGAUCUGUUGAAUUUGAAGUACUAAAAUAUUGCAAAGAUGAUAACUAAAACAUUGUGAAGAUGAUAACUAAAACAUUAUUGUGUUAUUAGCAAAUUGUUUGUGAUUUGGUCUGUUUAGUGUGCAAAAAAAAAAAUUAAAUUAGAACUGACCCAAAAAGCAAUGACACAAGCCGAAUAGCAUUCAGCCCACACUCACAGUUAUAGCCCAAGACAUACUUGUUAGUUUCACAAGUAUUUUAAAUCAGAAACAAAAACAAGCCUUCAGCCAAAUAAAA